rnacentral:rRNA from 1 species
ACGCUCGACACCUACGGGAGCAGCAGUAGGGAAUCUUCCACAAUGGACGCAAGUCUGAUGGAGCAACGCCGCGUGAGUGAAGAAGGUCUUCGGAUCGUAAAACUCUGUUGUUAGAGAAGAACACGAGUGAGAGUAACUGUUCAUUCGAUGACGGUAUCUAACCAGCAAGUCACGGCUAACUACGUGCCAGCAGCCGUGGUAAUCUGAGCGGGCUGGCAAGGC